AAAGGAUUUGGAUUCCUCAGAUAAAAGUUCUUCUCGCCUCUUCUCUUCUCUUAGCUGCUGCUGCUUCUUAUUCUUCUUCUUCUUCCUCUUCUUCUUCUUCUCCUUCUGCUUCUUUAUCUUCUUCUUUCCUCUCUCUUUCUCUCUCUCUUUUUCUCUCUCUCUCAUUUCUUUGUUUUGUUUUGAAACAGGGUCUUGCUCUGCUGAAAUGCAGUGGCAUGAUUAUAGCCCACUGCAGCCUCCAACUCCUGGGCUCAAGCCAUCCUCCCACCUCAGCCUCCAGAGUAGCCGGGACUACC
rnacentral:lncRNA from 1 species